rnacentral:misc_RNA from 1 species
UCCUGUUGCACUUCCUCCACCAGCAAGUCGCCUUGCAGUUUCUUCAUUUUUUUGACGGGCAAGUUCCGCCUGGUGCUGCCUGCGAAUCUCCUCUUUUGAGAUCUCCCCUGUAUCAGAUCUUAGUGUUGUCUUGGACAUGAAGGCCUUUGUGCCAUUAACCCCAGGUUUAGGUUCUGGUUUUACUUCAUCAUCCUCUUCACUGAAAGAGUAAGCCACAUCCUUAACAGCUUUUGAGCUCUUACAAGUUCCCACUUCAGGAUUUGUUUGACCUACAAUAACAGUAUCAGCAACUAAUAAAGAAAAA